rnacentral:rRNA from 1 species
UACGUAGGGACCGAGCGUUGUCCGGAAUCAUUGGGCGUAAAGAGCGUGUAGGCGGCUAUUUAAGUCCUGCGUGAAAUCCUGCGGCUCAACCGCAGACGGUCGUGGGAAACUGGAUGGCUAGAGUGCGGGAGAGGAGAGUGGAAUUCCCGGUGUAGCGGUGAAAUGCGCAGAUAUCGGGAAGAACACCCGUGGCGAAGGCGGCUCUCUGGAACGCAACUGACGCUGAGACGCGAAAGCGUGGGAGCA